UGGGGAAUUUUGCGCAAUGGGCGAAAGCCUGACGCAGCGACGCCGCGUGAGGGAUGAAGGCCCUCGGGUUUGUAAACCUCUUUCAGCAGGGUACGAAGCGGAAGUGACGGUACCUGCAGAAGAAGCCCCGGCCAACUACGUG
rnacentral:rRNA from 1 species